UCCGUGGUGGCUUAGAGGAUAAAGCACCUGCCUGCAAUGCAGGAGACCCGGGUUGGGAAGAUCCCCUGGAG
rnacentral:tRNA from 1 species